rnacentral:tRNA from 1 species
GGCUUCAUAGCUCAGUUGGUUAGAGCGUCGUCCUGGUAUCGCGAGGUCACGGGUUCAAAUCCCGUUGAAGUCC